AGAGUCCUGCUGGAGCUGUAAGACUUUAUCAGGUCUCUGAUUUAAGCUUUAACAUUGUAGUUGCAGUGUAGAAGCUCCUGGCUUCUUGUAAUAGUUUCACACUAAUUUUUUUAUGAUUGCAGAUGUAAGGGGUAGUUUUCGGUAAAGCCAAAUUUGAUGUGUUAUUAGCACAUCUGUGAGAAGUUUGUGGCUGCUUUUGAAACAGUAUGACUUAGCAAAAUCUGAGAGCAGAUGGGUCAAGUCUGCAACCCCCAAUACCAAAUAAAUAUGUGCAAUGUUUUUUACAUGAGCCUUGAAUUUCAAGUGACACGUGACAGCAUGCCUCUAACAGUGUUCCUUCUUGCAUCCUCACUCCUUCACAUUCCUUUCUACCUCUUUGUGCACCACCUUUUUAUGAACUAUGCUAAUGCUCAGUCUCCUAUUGUUACAGCAAACAAAGUUUCUUUUGUACAUACCACACCGAUUAAGACUCACUCUGAGUCAGUGGCAUCGUUUGAGUGUAGAGCCUGUCCUACUAUUCUUGAAAGGCUGGGUUCCAAGUUCAUACCAUUUACUGGAAGAAACAUUUCAUCUUGACGCCAUCCCAAAAAGAUUUCUGAAACUUUGUCAUGCCAGUAAAUGUUGCCGCCCUGCACAAUGACAGGCUGGCUCCAUGUUUUUAUCAUUUUUAAUCAGUUAAAUCAGUCCAGGGCCAAGAUUGUCAACUGGCCUGCAUGACUUUCACUCAGUGGGUGAAAUCCAGCAAACCUUAAUGACUUUCUCUUGAAGUUUCUAUUUGAAGUCAAGUCAAGUCAAGUCAAGUUUAUUUGUAUAGCACAUUUCAGCAGCAGGGCAAUUCAAGGUGCUUUACAUGAAACAAGCAGGCAAAACAUUCAACACAAUUUAAAAAGUAAAAACAGCGUAAAAGACAUUUAACAGAUUAAAAGUUACAUUCAAAGCUAAAAUAAGAAGGAAGGAUUUGAAGGAUCCAUGUGCUGACCUUGAUAACUGUUGCAAUUACCUCAACCAAUAACACAAAGAAAAUAGCAACACUUACCCAAAUUCUAAACAGGAAUGAGCAGUUUGUGUUGGGCCUUAAGUGCAGCUUUCAUCUUUCAUCUUCAUGCUGCGGGAAAAGGAAGUUUAUUUCGUCUCAUGCAUCUCCCAGAAUGCACUGAGAGAACCCAUGCCAAGCUACAAACAGUCAUGUGCUUAAAUCUCAAGACAGCUGCCUAUUUACAGACUCUACAAAGAUAGUUGCAGCAACAUUUGCAUUCAUAUAUCAAUAUGACCAUUAAUUUAAGGUAUUGUCUGUCACAUUAAGCUAAACAGACUUGGUAGAACUUAGAUAUAUUAUUUAUAAAUAUGAUUAAUUUUGUGUAUAAUCAGUAAAAUUUUAAUUUCAGUUUGAUUUAUUUAGACUUUCAGAGCUUCUCAAAAACUGGGUUGGUGUCAGGAACAUUGCACUUAGUUGGUUUCAUUCUCAUCUCUUAGUACUAACCGUUGCAGUCACCACAAGUAAUCACUCAUUAACUGUGGUAUACCGCAGGGUUCAGUUUUAGAUCCUAUUUUAUAUUCUAUUUAUGUGCCUCCCUUUGGCCGAAUUGUUUGCUUUGCAGAUGAUACACAGAUGUAUCUUCUCUUGAGACCUGGGGAGCCAUAUCCUCAGGUAGCACCCUACCAGAUGUUCCAAAGUUCAGACUCUAAACGAACCAUCAGGGUCCUUUGCAUCUGAAACAACCUACCUGAGGAGAUAACGUUCACAGAAAUCAUUCACAUCUUUUAAAUCUCUUCUUGAGACCAGUUUUUAUAGGUUUUCUUUCAUGUGAUGCUGUCCUGUUAUUGCCUUUAUCACCUUUUACCUCUUUGGUUAUUUUAAACUUCAAAUUAAUUUCAUUUUAAGACUUUGGUAUCUUUCUCUUGCUUCCAUCUCCUUCCUUUCUUACUUUGCUUCAUUGGACCUCUUGGUCUCAGAUCCUAUUCCUUGUUCUUGUGCUGCUUGGGCUCUUAUAUCUCAUAUUGUUGGGUUCAUGUGUGGCUAAGGAUGAUCUAGCUCAUAAAUGCAAUAUUAGUCCUGAACUGUGCCUUCACUGUUAAUGUUGUGCAGCCAUAAUGCAAGGUUUGGCAUUUUGGUAUCAUGCCAACACCUGAAUAUUUGCAUCAUUAAUUCAAGCUUAAUUCAGAGCUCAUGACCUUCUUUCCUCUGUUUGCAAGUGACUUGUUGGAUUAAACUGCUUGUUAAUCUGGGCAAACGCCUUGCCUGUUGGUUUUAUCUUUUGUAAACUCCUUUCAGAGUGAAAUACUUAAUGCAUGAAUUUUACUGUCGCCCUUUCUUCUCUACAUGCAAGUGACUCAUCAUACCUCUACAGUCAAAGCAGGAGUGACAGGUUAACGGGUUGACCUGAUGCUCUUUUCUUCCCCCAUUUGAUUAAAGAAGAGACAAACAAGUCUAUUCAUCUGUUAUUUACUCUGUUUUUACUCUGUUUUGACCUGGGAGAUUAGAGAGCUGGAGCGAGACCCAGGUGUCAUCAGGGGAGGGGCAGGGUGCACCCAUUGGCAGAUAAGCAGUCUAUCACAGGGCUGAUAUUGAGUAUACAAAAAGUUCCAGACACACUCAUCCAAAAGAACUACACAGCAUGUGGGAGGCAGCGGGAGUAUCCGAAGGGAAUUCACACAUGCAUGAAGAGGACAUGCAAACUGGGCACAGAAAGGCUCCUGCCCAAAGAGUGAGCCAGGAACCGUAAAACUGUCAGGCGAUGACACCUCUGCACCAUUGCAUGAAAAAGUAAAACUAUAUUAGCCCUUUGCAUUGGCAUACAGUAUUCCUGACAAUGUUGCAUUUUCCUCCUUUUUCAACACUUUUUGUGUUUCAAAAUAACCUGAUUUCUCAUUAACACUUCUACACAUACACUGUGGUGUACGCCCAGGAUAUGUUGUAAAGCUCUGACUUUUAGAAUAUGAAGCCAAAAAACAAUCCAACUAAAAUCCAAUCAUGUCAGCUAUCAUGCUCAGGGUUGAGAACUCUGUAAUUGAUAUUAUUGUGUUAUUUCUGCACUCCAAGUAGUAAACCUUGAUAUCUGACAAACUGUGGUUUAACAGUUCUCUAGAGUUGAUAAGCAGCCAUAAAAAAAUAAUUGAAUUGUAUGGGAGAAGUUGCUGGAGAGUGUUGGUCCCAUGAAAAGGGAUCCUCUUACGCUUGGCUACUUUUAACCCUCCAGAAAUAAUGGUGGAUAAUUUCACCUCACAUAAAAUGCACUGUGUUUAUAAGGCGUUAUCAGGCUCAGUUUUAAAGCUAGCACAAAGUCGUUUAUAUCAUUUCAACCACAACCGAAUCCAAUGAUAUAGCUUAGCAAAGUUAGUAGUUAUUCAGUAGGUAGUAAGUCCCACUUUCCCCCCAACACAGACCCUCUUGGAGGAGAUACAUACUGGCCGUCACUGAAAUAGAUGGACAAAUCAAAGUCAUAGAGAAAUAUAGGCCAAAGGUGGUAAUGAUCUGGUUUAGUCUAACACAGCAGUACCUUUAGCUGCCCCCACGGGAACUACAGUGUUGAUCUAAUGAUAGACACAGCUCAAAGGACAGCUGUAGCACGGUGAGAUCCACAUGACUACAGGUACUGACUCAUGCUUUGAAAAUAGUUAUUUACCAGGUAUCUGUCUAAAGAACAUCAGGAAUGUCAUCUGUUCAGGAAGAGAUUAGCCUGCAUUUUCCCUAUUCUUUAUAGCUUCGCUUACCUUCCUUCUCACGCCUUGCUUUCUCAUGCUCUGUUUAUUUAAUGGCCUCUGUGCUGUAAGUGCUUGAGGCGUCUCAGAUUUCUUUGUAUUUUGGAAAUUGUGCAAAUAAAUUGUUAAGUGAGUGAGAAUACCUCUUUGAAGGGACUUGAAGCCCUCCGGUUCAGUGCCUUGAGUCUCUUUUUGAAGAACAGGGUUCAAAUGGGUCUAAUUGCAGACCUACCACAGUUAGACAAGGUUAAGGUAAUUUCAUUUUAAAUGGGUCAUUUAUUCAGACAACACAGCCACUCUGGCACUUCUCUCAGACAACCAAUCCACCCUAGACUAUCACAAUACAGCGACUCGUUUUACCAAGUUGUGCACAGACAAUCAUCCCCAAAUCAAUGUCAAUAAAACAAAGGAACUUUAAUAUGCUUAUUGUAACCAACCAGGCCACACUCACACGUAUUACAAACACCGCUAAAAUCACCAGUCUCCCCACACCCAGCCUCACAGAAGCAAAGAACAAGUCCAUCACUUGCAUACCUACUUGCAUGCUACCCUCAGGGCGCAGAUACAAAACCAUCAAGUCCAGGAGGACUCGGCUGGGGAAAAGCCUGAUCCCUGCAGCCAUAGUCACCCUGAACAGCAGGCCCAGCUGAUCUGUCUGUCCGCUAUUGUGUUGUCAUUUAAGUUUGUCAUCAUUGUUGUGUAUGCCAUUUAUUGUUGGUGUGUAUGUAGUGUCCGUUGUUGUGUGUGAUGUGCAAUGUACUGUCAGCGAAGACAAAUCUCUCUAAGGGACAAAUAAAUCAAAUCAAUCAAUCAUAUCUAUCAGAAGUUAGCCACAGAGAAGACCAGCUUUGUCGGGCGGGGAAAUCUCCCUGCAUGUUGUGUGGAAGGUUCCCAACCGUUCUGUCUGUUGUGUGUUGCUUCCUUAUAUAGGAACUUAAGGAGACUGAGCUGCAACAUCUUCAUGCACAACACCUCCAAGCGUUCCAUGCAAGCGGUGGCGGACUGGUACUAAAAAACAGCCCUAGACUUUGACUCGGCCCGGCCCCAGCCCACAACAACGGAUGCGUGAAAACUCAUCAGAUACAGACACGGGUCUCAGAAUACUUAAAUCUAAACCCAUGAGUUUUUACCUUCCAAAUAACUGCAUUAUCACUGAUGUUGACUAAAAGUUGUGUUAAGAGCACAGUGUAGAAUACUCAGUGAGAAAUAAACACCACUCUUUAAAUGGUAUGAGUUUUGAUAAAUCACAAUUUAAAGAGGCUGUGAUUAUACAGUUAACAUAGAUACUCACUGAGAAAUAAACAACACACUCUUCAAAUGUCUCUCAAUGAACAAUACAAUGGUGGCUGCCUUAAACUGUGCUACUAAUGAUCUGUGGCAUCUUAACAGCUCAUGGGCUGUUGGUAGUCGUCACUGGCACAUACUGGAUAAGCACAGCUGUCUCAUCCCCUCAGCGGCUCAGAUACUGUGAGUCACAUCCUCAAUCACUUGUUGCAGAGAAUUUAACCAGGGAGUUUAAAUGUCAAACUGACAACAGAAUAAGCCCUAGAGAGUUUUCCUGUUUGAAUGAUCAUCAAUGAAAAUGUUCAUUAUUCACCUCCAGUUAAAAAACUGCUGGGCAAACAUUUUAGCAAAAAUAGUUUUUGGUGUUUAAGGGCGCGUUCACACCACCCUCGUUUAGUCCGGUUAAACCGAACCCUGGAGCGUUUACCCCCUUGGUGCGGUUCAUUUGGGUCAGUGUGAAUGCUGACCUCAAACUCUGGUGCGGACCAAAUAAACAAACUCUGGUCCCCUGAAGAGGUGGUCUUGGACUGCUGUCAACUGAACUCUGGAGCGGUUCAUUUCUCCAUUUCUGGUGUGAACGUCAUCCACACCAAUCACAGAAAACGCACCUAGGCUAGGCUAUUUGUAAUACUGGUUUUAAAAUAAAUGUUGUCCGCUCUCCUCACUUGUCCCGAUUGACACCAGAGAGAAAACGCAUUGUGGUAGACUCUCAUUAAUGCCUGUCGCCAUCUCGUCUGUAUCCAUCUGUUGUUUGCAGCAUUCCUACUCCGGAAUGAAUUAAUGAAUGCCGCAGUUCGCGCUCACAGGCUAACGAGGCGUUCAUACGCGCGAUCGGCUAGUGUCUUUUGAUACGCACUCCAAAUGAGUAGUAAAAGCAAAAUCAGCCUUUGAUGCUCCAUGACAGGCGAAGACAGCAGAGCGGGGUUUAUAUUCCCGCAUAAACUAAUCACCAAUAAACGAAUGAUAUUUGCGAUCAUGUGACUUCCGGUUUCGUUUUCUAGAGCGAUUGAGUUUGUCUUUUGUGAACACAAACCGGACCAGUUAAACAAUCAAAACAAAUGUAUCGUCUUGCCUUGGAUUCGAAUCAGGAAACGGACCUUUGGUUCUGAGGCAUGUUUACUGGCAAAUAUUUCUGUCAGCUUCCGACAUUUGGAUGCUUUGCUCUCUUACUAUUUAUUUUUCUCUCACCUUCUCAGCCCCACCCUUUUCUUUCCUCUUUUUUAGAAUUAACAACACCAGCAGUAUCCAUGGCCUCUAGUUUCGCCCAUCUGCACUUCCAUUCGGCUGAGUGAUGAGUGGGCUUCUAAUCUGUGAGUCCGCAGGCGCAUUGUCGCAACCCAUUGGUCUAGUAGAUUAUAAGCAAAAGAAAAAAGAAAAAACUGUGAUGGCUGCACAGCGGCCGGCGGCGGUCCUGCAGCACUGGACAUUCUGAUAUUCUCCAGAACAUCCAGAUGGCCAAUCCGCCCCUGCACGCAGGUGUUGACACACUGAGCUUACGGCUGGUGGUUCAACAGUGGGAUGUGCUGCAAGGAAGCCAGAUAGUAAAAUAAACCUUGUCAGAUGAAGAAAGGAAAAAAACAUUUAACAAAUGGCAUAGAGCUGUAAAAGCGACAUACUGUUAGUCUCUUGCUUACAUGUUUUGCCAACCAUUUUGACACGUAACACAUCAACCAAAAGACGACCCGAUAGUAACAGGCUGAAAAGGAUAUUUACCACCUCUGGAACAGAAGUGGACAUGCUUCUGUCAAUUAUUAGAUUUUUGCAUAGUCGUGCAUGUGAACUGGAAUAAGGACAUCUGUCCAGAUCAGUGGCGGCUGCUGGUCUUUCAAGGAGGGGAAGCUCAUUUUUCUGGCCUACAUCAUAAUUGUAUUUGUUUAUUAGUAUGUAACAGAACAGAGUCGCCAAACACAACGGCAGUCGUUUUUAACAAAGACAAAAGUCGCUGAGGAUCGGUAAAGUCUCCGGAGCAGUUAAGAACAACGGAAUGAAUAACUUGGAAAAUGCUCUGGUAGAUGUUUUAUUCUUCAAGAUCGCUGAUUCGCUUGUUUAGCUGUCAAUCAAAAAAGGAUUUCGCCUCAGACAGCUCAUCCAAUCAUGGAUGCAGAAGCGCGGAGUCCGGGAGAAAGUCGGGACUGCCCUCUCGCCAUAGAACUCCAGUGAAGCUGGGCUUCCAUUGGGCGGGACAAAGCCCAGCAUUUAUCCAAUGAGCGUCUAGUUUCGCUGCUGGAACAACCCACUUUGAGCCUCCACAUUGAAGUCAGCAGAAGCCCAGCGUCCGACUGUUUGAAGCGCUGAGGCGCUGCGAGGAUGAAUGAGAACGAAGUUAUGCCGGUUACCUGUGAUUAUCAGCUUCUUAUCACAGUGUCUGAACAAAAGAUGAAGGCUUUCUAGUGCGUAUUUAGUUAAUGAAAUGUACACACAGCCGUACGUAUUUCACCACUUUUUCUUUUUUUUGGGGGGUGACAUUUUAAGGGAAGCCGAGCUUCCCUUGCAGUCUUAGAGCAAUCGCCACUGGUCCAGAUCCUGAUCAAGCCAUGGCUGUAGCUCAACUUAACUGCGCAUGUGGACGUACUGAAUGAAUACAAGCAAAUUUUUCAGGGGCCAUGAAAACAUGUUUGGUCAUCCAGCACCAUCAAUCGCUUAGUUUACGCUCUAUCUAACCGUGUUUACUUUAUCUUUACAUGCAAUCUACUGCUGCCCACAGUUUCAUUCAUGUUAGGUGUGAACACAAAUAUUUGUUCUGUGUUUCUUCCAGCCUUUGCUCCAGGUUUGUCAAUGUCAGAACACUGAUUUGUUCAAUAGAGGAACCUCAGUUAUAACUGCUACAAAAGGUUUUCUUCUGGUACAGAAAAGCCACACUCCAACUGAUGUUUGACAUAUAUUUAUUUUCUUCUCUUCAAUGGCAAACACCGUGAAAAACUAAGUUAAAUACAAAGACACAAGAAUUGCCCUGCAAAAACAUUCACAUUUCCAAUAGCCUCAGGUGGACUUGAGUACAUUGUCUCAUGAAGCUGUAAUAUUUUAUUUAGCACAGACUUGUUCUGUUUAGGGGAAGAGGUGUUACUUCCCGGAGCUCGAGUGUGUUUUGUCAUAGAUCCAAGGAGUCUGCCCAAAGUUAUACUAUUAAUUUCUGUCAAUCUUUCAUAGGGUAAGUAAUACAAAUCAAGUUUUUACAUGUAAUUGAAUGCUAUCAGCUGGGGGGGGGGGUUCUCAUUUCUGGGAAAUGAGAGUUGAGUCUAGUCUCAACAGUUUAGCUGUUUCUCUCUUUUUUUUCUUUGUGCUUGUUUACUUUCUUAGGAUCCCCCAUAGACUGUAUAUAGAAUGGACGCCCUCUGCCUCCUUGCUGGGUGAAGCCACUCCGAGAGCAGCACCCACUGUUGAUGGGCUGCAGUAAAGGUAAUAAAUCCCACCUCCGCCAGCAAUCCUUUUGGAGCUGUGGACGAACUUUAGAAAUUUAUUUCACGGAAUAUAAAUUUUUCUCCCCCCUGCUUGUGAUGUUGAAAUGUAGUUACUGUAAGACUGGUUUGUGCUCAAAUCCUCUUUUUUCUGUGAAGCUCCAUUUUUAAAAUUUAUUUGGGGGUUCAUGUUUUCUUUGAUUGACACCUGAUACAGCCUCUGGGCGCACAGGGAUUGCGUAGUGUCAUCACAGCGACGCUUGGCAACUCUCUCGCCGAAUGCGCACAAUGCUACUGCGCAGCGCUGGUUUCAGGAAAUGAAGAAAAAUCCCAGAAAUACAGAGAGCUUUUUGGCUUCAAAUCCGUAUACAGACGGGAGGCGGAACCAAGUUGUCCAUAGUAUAUACAGUCUAUGAGAUCCCCAUUAGCACAGGCAUAAGCUUCAGCUAAUCCUCCGAGUGUCCAACACAUACUUGAUAGGACAGCCGAAGACAGACAUGAAACGCAGGGAGUAAAGAUUGGGGUACCACACACAGCCAAGGGUUGCAGUGGCAUACUCAAGAAGUUGGAGGGGCAGGGGCAACAAAUUGAAAUGGCUCGUAGCCUGGAGGUUAGAGAAUCAGUAGCCCAGACAUCAACAGCAUUGGGCUCAUUUAAAAAUAUGGGCAUAAAUAAUGACAACAGAGUCCAGGGGUCCUCCACCAGGGAGUUAUAAACAUUCAAAUCUAAAUUCACCAAAAUUUGGUAUAUGUCUUUGCUGUUGGUUGUGAUGGAUAUUUCAUAUUUCAUAAAACACAAAGUUAUGAAUGCAUGAUUGACAAAAAGAUGAAUACUAAUUAUUGCAUGAAGGUAGUGUUACGCCCCAGUCUAGGGGUGCCUAGGGCACAACAUGAGAAGGCCUCAUCUUCCCCAAGUCCCAAGU